UGUUAGUACGAAAAAUUUCUGUGACAGGUGGUAGUGCGUCACUUCAAUUCAAUAAUAUUUUUGUCGUUAUUUUGCUGCAUAUUGUAUAUUAUAGUCAAACUUCUUUAAUUAGUGUGUUUUUUGUCCGUAAUUAAUUAUAUAUUUCGUUAGAAUUCAAUGAUUUCUCGGUCUCUUUUCUUCUUUUCCUUGAUUCCAUACUUUCGAUAUCACGACUGCUCGUUUUUCGUGUUUCGAAAUUUGGAGUUUCAUUGUCUGCAUCGUGCUAAUUCAACUUAGGAUGCUUUCUAUACAAGUGAUUGCCCGAUGUUUACAAGCUUCAAUGGUCGGUGAGCGAUUAGUUAUUGAUCAAUGAAUGGUUAACGUGUGAUCAAUCCGAGUGAUUCAGUCACUUGUCGGUAUAAUAAUCAGUCAAUAAUCAUUCAACGAUCAGCAGUCAAUCGAUAUUCAAUCAUGAGAAGUGAAAUUAUUUCAUCGUAGCUAAGAAGUAUCCAAAUCCAGUUAUACCUUUUUCAAUAUUAUUAAACGUACACUUUGAAAUACAACAGUCUCGCUAUCACUUCUUCGACAACAUCCCUUCCAAAAGGUUACUCCAUCGCAUUUAAGCCACGUUUAUUGCUCUCCUCAUCUCCGUGGCUUCCGAAGCGAAAAGCGCCAAAGGACAAAGACGAACUUUAAUUCGUCGUCUCGUUAAGCAACUUAUCAAAGUGCAUGAAGCACCCAGCCAACACGAUAAAAUAAUUGUUCCGGGUUAAUGUCUAACGACCUUCCUCGACAGCAUCAUCUCGAGCAGAAAUACCAACCGACUUGGUUACUCGCGGUGUCGACUCUGCUUGCUGUGCAAAGGUCCAAACGAGAAAUUGUUCGGAUGUUUCUCCCGACAACGACGAGAAAGGGAAUAAUUGUGAAUCGUUUAUAAUAUAAGGCGACAUCGUGGCCCAUUCCACGCCAACCUAUUAUCUUCCUCCUCCUCCCUCUCUCUCUUAUUUUCGACUAUGCUGCCACGACAAUUACUUUGCCCGAUAAUUUUUCAAAGGAUCAUGGUCAUCGCGUUCGUCGUGAAAAUUUCAGAAUCGCUACGUUUACGACCUUAAUGCGAAAACAGUUAUAUGGAUAAUUAGUGAACUCGACGUAGCGAAACCACCGGGCUUUGAGAAUUUCACGAGGAUAAUUAUUCUGCUUGCACGUCCGAGAUAUCUUCCAGGAAGAUAUGGAAGAUAUUAUGCGUAGAAUUCGACCAGACAUCACGGAAUACUCUCGCUAAUUUGCCAAUGGAAAUUUGUUUGAAUCGAACGUGAUAAAUUGUGGAGUUACAUGUCGUUAAUUGAACGGAGAUCCUUCGAUAGAUCUAAUUUUGUUAGACCUCUCGAUAAAUCGGGUCAAACGGUGUUGGCGUCACUUUUUUAGGUCCUCUAUACAUUAAGCCUGAAUUAAGUACAAUUACAGCAAUAAGAAAUAGACGUAAGAUUAAGAGAAUUUUAUGAUGCACGAAACGAACAAAAAUUAGGAAAAAAUCGCGAUAUUUUUUAUAUAACGAACGACAUCCAAUAUACAAUAAGAAAGAAAGAUUCUUCCAAGAUUUUCAAACAAACGAGUAAAGCUUCUAAAGGAUUAAAUCUAAACAAUUUUUCAGCAAAGACGAGAGAAAGAGAGAGUUUCUUAAAGGAACGAUGAAACAUACAUUACGGAAGUAUCUCGGGAGGAUGUCGUUUCCCCUCGUAAUAAUAAUAACGAUGAUGAUAUUAAAGGAACGAAGUGUCGAGUGAAACGCAACCCCGCUGAUGUUCAGUCAUUAUUUGCGCUCGGCAUUUUGCCAGUAACAAUGAAAGGCAGUCUCGAAUUUGUGUAACUCUCAUCUACGGGGGAAAUGAGAAUCCAUGGACGUAUUAUGCGUCCACUAAUACCGUUGCCCGGCCGAUGUUCGAACAUUCGGCUGCAUAAAUAGUCCACCAAGCAUCACGACUUCCCCGGGCAUAAUAUCGACUCGCGAUUUUCCAUUCAGUGAGCCAUCGGUCAAACUUCCUAUUCUGCAACAAACGGAAAUUCUUCCCCCUCGAAUCGAACUUUCUCCACCGUUCAAAAAUUACUUCUCGUCGAAUGCGAAAUAUUUCCGCGCAUCCCUGUUGGCACACGCACCGGUUAUUCGCCAACUUGCAAACUAAACGGCGUCAGAAUGGAAAACAAUCCCUUUUGAUGGCUCGUGUUGUAUACACGAAAGGGUUACGGUCGUUGAAAUAUCUUUGCAACUUGGAGAAAUUGAAGUUUCGUUGCAUAAGAUGUAUUUUAUGGGAAUAAAAUUCAUCGAUUUUAUGGGAUAUCGGGGAAGGGAGAAGUUAUCCAGAUCCGAGUUUUUAUCAAGAUAUUGGCUAUUGGAGUAAUUUUAAUCUGUUUUAUUCGGAAUAGAUAAAAUAUGCUAGUACAGAAGUAUAAUAAUACAGG
rnacentral:lncRNA from 1 species